GACGAACGCUGGCGGCGUGCCUAACACAUGCAAGUCGAACGAAAAGUCCGGGUCUUGGGUCGCAUGGGUGUGUAACCGGUGGGAAUAUGCACUUGUGGAUGGCCUAACAGUUGGAAACGACUGCUUAUACCGGAUGGUAACUUAUGUCCAAUGAUAUAUUGCCCAGGGAUGAGCCGGCGUAGGAUUAGCUAGUUGGUGGGGUAAUGGCCUACCAAGGCGACGAUCCGCAGCUGGUUAGGGAGGAUGCUCAGCAACACUGGGACUGAGACACGGCCCAGACUCCUACGGGAGGCAGCAGUGGGGAAUCGUGGACAAUCGGCGAAAGCCUGAUCCAGCAAUGCCGCGUGAAUGAUGAAGGUCUUAGAGUAGUAAAGCUCUAUUACCCGGGAUGAUAAUGACCGUACCGGGAGAAUAAGCCCCGGCUAACUCCGUG
rnacentral:rRNA from 1 species